rnacentral:hammerhead_ribozyme from 1 species
AUCCUGAUGACGAGUUCCAAACAGGACGAAAUGCACAUCUUGGAU